UCGAGCGGACCGACGGGAGCUUGCUCCCUUAGGUCAGCGGCGGACGGGUGAGUAACACGUGGGUAACCUGCCUGUAAGACUGGGAUAACUCCGGGAAACCGGGGCUAAUACCGGAUGCUUGAUUGAACCGCAUGGUUCAAUCAUAAAAGGUGGCUUUUAGCUACCACUUGCAGAUGGACCCGCGGCGCAUUAGCUAGUUGGUGAGGUAACGGCUCACCAAGGCGACGAUGCGUAGCCGACCUGAGAGGGUGAUCGGCCACACUGGGACUGAGACACGGCCCAGACUCCUACGGGAGGCAGCAGUAGGGAAUCUUCCGCAAUGGACGAAAGUCUGACGGAGCAACGCCGCGUGAGUGAUGAAGGUUUUCGGAUCGUAAAACUCUGUUGUUAGGGAAGAACAAGUACCGUUCGAAUAGGGCGGUACCUUGACGGUACCUAACCAGAAAGCCACGGCUAACUACGUGCCAGCAGCCGCGGUAAUACGUAGGUGGCAAGCGUUGUCCGGAAUUAUUGGGCGUAAAGCGCGCGCAGGCGGUUUCUUAAGUCUGAUGUGAAAGCCCCCGGCUCAACCGGGGAGGGUCAUUGGAAACUGGGGAACUUGAGUGCAGAAGAGGAGAGUGGAAUUCCACGUGUAGCGGUGAAAUGCGUAGAGAUGUGGAGGAACACCAGUGGCGAAGGCGACUCUCUGGUCUGUAACUGACGCUGAGGCGCGAAAGCGUGGGGAGCGAACAGGAUUAGAUACCCUGGUAGUCCACGCCGUAAACGAUGAGUGCUAAGUGUUAGAGGGUUUCCGCCCUUUAGUGCUGCAGCAAACGCAUUAAGCACUCCCCCCGGGGGAGUACCGGCCCCAAGACUGAAACUCCAAAGGAAUUGACGGGGGGCC
rnacentral:rRNA from 1 species